rnacentral:rRNA from 1 species
ACAUUUCUAGCUUGCUAGAAGAUGACGAGUGGCGGACGGGUGAGUAAUGCUUGGGAACUUGCCUUUGCGAGGGGGAUAACAGUUGGAAACGACUGCUAAUACCGCAUAAUGUCUUCGGACCAAACGGGGCUUCGGCUCCGGCGCAAAGAGAGGCCCAAGUGAGAUUAGCUAGUUGGUAAGGUAACGGCUUACCAAGGCGACGAUCUCUAGCUGUUCUGAGAGGAAGAUCAGCCACACUGGGACUGAGACACGGCCCAGACUCCUACGGGAGGCAGCAGUGGGGAAUAUUGCACAAUGGGGGAAACCCUGAUGCAGCCAUGCCGCGUGUGUGAAGAAGGCCUUCGGGUUGUAGAGCACUUUCAGUUGUGGGGAAAAGUUAGUAGUUAAUACCUGCUAGCCGUGACGUUAACAACAGAAGAAGCACCGGCUAACUCCGUGCCAGCAGCCGCGGUAAU